AGAGUUUUCCUGGGUAUAGUAGCUUGGGCUGGCAUUUGUGUUCUUAGUGUCUGUAUAACAUCUGUCCAGGAUCUUCUGGCUUUCAUAGACUCUGGUGAGAAGUCUGGAGUAAUUCUAAUAGGCCUGCCUUUAUAUGUUACUUGACCCUUUUCCCUUACUGCUUUUAAUAUUCUAUCUUUAUUUAGUGCAUUUGUUGUUCUGAUUAUUAUGUGUCGGGAGGAAUUUCUUUUCUGGUCCAGUCUGUUUGGAGUUCUGUAGGCUUCUUGUAUGUUCAUGGGCAUUUCUUUCUUUAGGUUUGGGAAGUUUUCUUCUAUAAUUUGUUGAAGAUAUUUGCUGGCCCUUUAAGUUGAAAAUCUUCAUUCUCAUCUACUCCUAUUAUCGGUAGGUUUGGUCUUAUUGUGUCCUGGAUUUCCUGGAUGGUUUGAGUUAGGAUCUUUUUGCAUUUUGCAUUUUCUUUGAUUGUUGUGUCCAUGUUCUUUAUGGAAUCUUCUGCACCUGAGAUUCUCUCUUCCAUCUCUUGUAUUCUGUUGCUGAUGCUCGCAUCUAUGGUUCCUUAUUUUUUUCCUAGGGUUUCUAUCUCCAGAGUUGUCUCACUGUGUUUUUUUUUUUUGUUUGUUUGUUUCUUCUUCCCUUUUUAGAUCUUGCAUGGUUUUGUUCAAUUCCAUCACCUGUUUGGUUGUGUUUUCCUGUAAUUCUUUAAGGGAUUUUUGUGUUUCCUCCUUAAGGACUUCUACCUGUUUUAGCAGUGUUUUCCUGUAAUUCUUUAAGACCUUCUACCUGUUUAGCAGUAUUCUCCCAUAUUUCUUUAAGUGAGUUAUUUAUGCCCUUAAAAUCAUCUACCACCAUCAUGAGAUAUGAUUUUAAAUCUGAGUCUUACUUUCCGGGUGUAUUGGGGUAUCCAGGACUGUGGUGGGCGUACUGGGUUCUAAUAAUUCCCAGUGUUCUUGGUUUCUGUUAGUAAGAUUCUUAAGUUUGCCAUUCGCCUCUGGUAAUCUCUGGUGUUAAUGUUCUAGCUGUCUCUGGCUGGAGCUUGUUCCUCCUGUGAUUCUGUUAGCCUCUGUCAGCACUCCUGGGAGUUCAACUCUCACCUGAGUCCCAGUGGUCAGAGCACUCUCUGCAGGCAAGCUCUCCUCUUACAGGGCAAGUGUCCAGAAGUCUGGAGCUCAGAUCCACCUCCUGAGUCCUGGGGUCAGAGCCAUCCCUGUAGGCCAACUCUCCUCUGGCAAGGAAGGUGCCCUGGGGUCUGGGUCUCAGCUCCACCUCCUGGCUGAGGAUGAAGGCCCGAAGGGACCCUGUCCAAGAACUUCUGUUGCUUCUGUCACCCAUGUACUCUCCCGUGAUCACCUAGUCCUGGGUGUGCUAAGGGUCCUGCGGCGUGGAGAGUCAUGGAGAGUCCUCUGCAUCCCUUGAAGCCCUUGGCCAGGUUCACGUGGAAGAUGGCGGGGCUGGCCCCAACCGGAAUGGAUCCCAGCCUCUAGUCCGGCGGAGUUCCUUUAUCCCUCUUCCUGCUGGCACAAGACCUUCUGCGAUUCUUUGGAGCUGAUGUUGCGGUCCACUCACCCUUGAUCCCGAGGUUCUGUGGCGUGGAGCGUACUCUGGAGCCCUUGGCGGCCUCCGCCUGGUUCAGGCAGAAGAUCAGAGAGUUCUUAAUUGCUUCAUUUAUCC
rnacentral:lncRNA from 1 species